GAAUUGAAAAUGGGUAGCGAUUUUGAUGAUCAAAUCUCUCUAGAACCCGACUCCUGGUUCCCAAUUGAAACUUUGACCACAAAAUGCUUUGAAUCGAGCAACAGCAACAACUUUUUCGUCCCAAUUGGGCACUUCAUUUGGGAUGAAAAACCUAACAUUGUAUAUGAUGAAAGAUUAGUACAUCUCCAUUAGAUAUUUCAGUCCCAUCAUGACCCUCGCAUAUUGUUAAGUGGUACUUUAUAAGGAAUUUUCGUCAAAUGUAAUGUUUAAAUGUAUUUAGCAUCAUUAUGUAAGGUAUAUAGCGAUAGACAUAAUUGUUACGAAAGUUAUUGUAUAAAUACAUAAAAUCUUAUUUUCAUUUUUAUGAUGGGCAAAAAUAAGAAAUAAGAAAAUUGAAAAUGCAUCACCCUCACUGGAAGAGAAUGUUUGUCUUAUAAAUAGAGAUUAUGGUCCUCAAUCGUAGACUAGACAAAAGAACCCAUAUGUUCCACUAUGAAUAUGCAUUUGCAUACAAGGAUAAAGGGCAUGAAGUUGGUGGAUUUAUCAUGAAGGAUGUAUAAUGUUCAUUCACCAUAUUCUCUAUGAAUAUAUUAAGGUAUGCUUCUGCUGUAGUUUUAUAUAUCUUCUUGAUGAUUUGACAUUAAAGAUCUUGACUAUAUAUGAUGAUAGUGUUCAUUAUUUUUAGUAUAUAUUAUGUAUGUAUACAAUAUAAAGUCUCUCACACCAUUUGAAGUCUCUAUCUUAAUUUUUUUCCCUAUAAGUAGUAUCAGAGCCACUUUCAGGUCAUGUUAAUGGGAAAUAAUAUUUAUUUUCAGUUAUCAAGUCAUCAUUUUGAGAAAAUAGUUAAAUUGUCUUUCUACAAAUUCAUUGUUUUAUAAAGAUGUCAUGUUAGAAUGAAACUUUGUUAUUCCAAGGUUUAGAAAUUUUGCUAUUCAAUUUGUUUGGUUCUAAACUCAUGAAUCCAAAUACUAUCAAUUUAAAAUUAAACCAGAUGAAUGCAAAGGAAAAAAAAAAUUCAAAAUAAAUUUGCAAAGUUUUGGUUUUGUUCAUGGUUAUGUAAUGUCAAGAAGAUUAGUCUGUGAAUAGUAUAUGAAAUGGUUGUGGUUUUAGUUGAAAUAUCAUUUAAUUGCCAUUACUGUCUAAUAAUUGGUCUAUAGUUGUAUUGGUUUGGUGAACCGUGAACCUAUGGCAACCUGUAGGCCAUUUGUGAUUGGUUGCAGUGGUUGAUCAGUGCUUUGAUUAUUAUUUAUGUAGUUCAGGUUCUACUCCGGUGAAUGUAUAUGGACUGUAUUAGUCUGAAAGGUCAGAACAUUUCCAUGCAUGUGCAUUUAUCUUUCUUUUGUAUAUCCACAACCUUUUCAGUUGUAUAUUGAAUGGUGGCCACAUUUAUGAAAACAAAUUUUUGAGGUGGUGAGUUUGGCCCUCGUGUUGGUGGUGGGGUUAGCUUUGAUUCUGGGUAUGGACCUUGAACGACAAUGAUACACAGUCCACCAGAGAUAAAGAUGAAGAGCAGGUAGUAAAUAAGUAUUUGUCUGAUAAACUUGUGCUUACAUUGCCCAUUCGUUCACCCAAAGCAAGAAGCUCCUCAUAAGGCAUUUCAUCAAUGUCCAAGCUCAUAUCUUUGUGGUAGUCUACAUGUAAGGCAACAUCAACUUAGAAGAAGGGCAUGGGAGAAAGACUACAACGUCUAUAGUUGCCUCACGCAUUCCUCCUUUACGAGGUUGGUGUUAGAUUAAUUUAACAACUAAAUGACCCAUGUACUAGGAGUUAUUAAUCUGAAUUAAAGGGUUUAAUGUGAUUGGUUGGUUAUUAAUGAAUGAGAUUAGUGGGGGUGUUUUGGUUAACUCUCUCAUCUCACUUCAUAGGUAGUUUCCUGCAUAGUGGAAAAGCAUCAGAAUAGUCAUAUCAUUGUUUGCACUCUUAUGAAUAGAAAUACAAAAUGAAUUAGAGAAGCAUUACUAACUGAUUAAGGAAGGUGUGAUGCUAUACAAAAAGGGGAGAAUGGAAAGAAGAAUAUUGAGUUCUUAACCAUCAAGGAAUGUGUAAC
rnacentral:lncRNA from 1 species